AACCCGGAAGCUAAGACUCUCUGCGCCGAUGGUACUGCAAGGGGGACCUUGUGGGAGAGUAGGACACCGCCGGAC
rnacentral:rRNA from 2 species